ACAAUUUACACCACUGGGUCGAUGCCACUGCUGGUGGACGUUUCGUCCCCGAGGGUAUCACCAGCCCAGUAGUCAGCACUUCGGUGUUGACAUGAAUAUCAAUUAUAUGGUCAUUUUUAUAAAUUUUCUGUUUACAAAACUUUGAAUUUUUCAAAAAACUAAGGAUUUUCUUACCCCAGGAGUAGAUUACCUUAGCCAUAUUUGGCACAACUUUUAGGAAUUUUUGAUUCUCAAUGCUCUUCAACUUUGUAUUUAUUUGGCUUUUUAACUAUUUUGAUCUGAGCGUCACUGAUGAGUCUUAUGUAGACGAAACGCGCGUCUGGCGUAUAAAAUUAUAAUCCUGGUACUUUUAAUAACUAUUUACA
rnacentral:lncRNA from 1 species